UACGAAGGGGGCUAGCGUUGCUCGGAAUUACUGGGCGUAAAGCGCACGUAGGCGGUCUUUUAAGUCGGGGGUGAAAUCCUGGAGCUCAACUCCAGAACUGCCUUUGAUACUGGAAGUCUUGAGUUCGAGAGAGGUGAGUGGAACUGCGAGUGUAGAGGUGAAAUUCGUAGAUAUUCGCAAGAACACCAGUGGCGAAGGCGGCUCACUGGCCCGGUACUGACGCUGAGGUGCGAAAGCGUGGGGAGCAAACAGG
rnacentral:rRNA from 1 species